CGGGGGGAGCAAGCGUUGUUCGGAUUUACUGGGCGUAAAGGGCGCGUAGGCGGCGCAACAAGUCACUUGUGAAAUCUCCGGGCUUAACCCGGAGCGGCCAAGUGAUACUGUCGUGCUAGAGUGCGGAAGGGGCUACUGGAAUUCUCGGUGUAGCGGUGAAAUGCGUAGAUAUCGAGAGGAACACCUGCGGCGAAGGCGGGUAGCUGGGCCGACACUGACGCUGAGGCGCGAAAGCCAGGGGAGCGAACGGGAUUAGAUACCCCGGUAGUCCUGGCCUUAAACGAUGGAUGCUUGGUGUCCGGGGUUACAUAGUCCCCGGGUGCCGGCGUUAACGCAUUAAGCAUCCCGCCUGGGGAGUACGGUCGCAAGACUG
rnacentral:rRNA from 1 species